GGUAAACGCUGACACGAAGUGGCUUAACACAUGCAAGUCGAUGAUGGGAGCGUAAGCCGUAGACGUUAGAAGAAGUCAUGGCGGACGGGUGAGUAACGUGUAAAGAACUUGCCCUCUAGACUGGGAUAACAGAUAGAAAUGUCUGAUAAUACCGGAUAUUAUUGUUACAUGGCAUCAUGUAGGAAUGAAAGGAUAAGAUUGCUAGAGGAGAGCUUUGCAUCCUAUUAGCUAGUUGGUAAGGUAGAGGCUUACCAAGGCGAUGAUAGGUAGCCGGCCUGAGAGGGUAGACGGCCACAAGGGACUGAGACACGGCCCUU
rnacentral:rRNA from 1 species